UGAACUCAACACAUUUGCAAUACUAGUGGGCCCCACCAACUUGUUAAAAACGUUUUUCUUAAAAAAAAUUUAAAACUCCAAAAAUUAAUUAUUUCAAAACUUCGGAACUUCAAUAAUUCAUAAUAAAUAGCCUUUAAACAGAAAAUUUCAAAUCUUAUGUCCAUUCUAUAGAAAAUUUAAUUCUUUACAACUUUGCAGAAGAAAGUUUUUCCAAAUUCC
rnacentral:lncRNA from 1 species